rnacentral:rRNA from 1 species
CACUCUGGACACCUGAGAAGCGUGCAGAUUCCUAACCGGAAGGCAGCAGUGGGGGAAAUAUUGGCACAUGGCGCAAAGGCUUGAUGCAGCAUGGCGCGUGUGUGGAAGAAUGCCUUCCGGUGUAAAAGCAACUUUCAGUCGUGAGGAAGGUAGGUUGUAGUUAAUAAGCCUGUCAUUCAUUUGACGUAGCGACAAGAAGAAGCACCGGGCUAACUCCGUGCCAGCAGCCGCGGUAAUACGGAGGGUGCGAGCGUUAAUCGGAAUUACUGGGCGUAAAGCGCAUGCAGGUGGUUUGUUAAGUCAGAUGUGAAAGCCCGGGGCUCAACCUCGGAAUAGCAUUUGAAACUGGCAGACUAGAGUACUGUAGAGGGGGGUAGAAUUUCAGGUGUAGCGGUGAAAUGCGUAGAGAUCUGAAGGAAUACCGGUGGCGAAGGCGGCCCCCUGGACAGAUACUGACACUCAGAUGCGAAAGCGUGGGGAGCAAACAGGAUUAGAUACCCUGGUAGUCCACGCCGUAAACGAUGUCUACUUGGAGGUUGUGGCCUUGAGCCGUGGCUUUCGGAGCUAACGCGUUAAGUAGACCGCCUGGGGAGUACGGUCGCAAGAUUAAAACUCAAAUGAAUUGACGGGGGCCCGCACAAGCGGUGGAGCAUGUGGUUUAAUUCGAUGCAACGCGAAGAACCUUACCUACUCUUGACAUCCAGAGAACUUUCCAGAGAUGGAUUGGUGCCUUCGGGAACUCUGAGACAGGUGCUGCAUGGCUGUCGUCAGCUCGUGUUGUGAAAUGUUGGGUUAAGUCCCGCAACGAGCGCAACCCUUAUCCUUGUUUGCCAGCGAGUAAUGUCGGGAACUCCAGGGAGACUGCCGGUGAUAAACCGGAGGAAGGUGGGGACGACGUCAAGUCAUCAUGGCCCUUACGAGUAGGGCUACACACGUGCUACAAUGGCGCAUACAGAGGGCGGCCAACUUGCGAAAGUGAGCGAAUCCCAAAAAGUGCGUCGUAGUCCGGAUUGGAGUCUGCAACUCGACUCCAUGAAGUCGGAAUCGCUAGUAAUCGUGGAUCAGAAUGCCACGGUGAAUACGUUCCCGGGCCUUGUACACACCGCCCGUCACAUACACCGGAGUAGAGUUUAAUACGUGGGUCAGGAUAAGUCGUAACAAGGUAACCAUGCUAGAGUGUG